CUGCUUAUGACGGUUUAUUUGUGAUGAUUCAUGAUCUCAUGCAUGAUUUAGCAACAUUCUACGGUAAAAGGUUCUUUGUUAGAACCUCUAAACACGAGAAUGUAGCCAAACAUGAUACCAAAGCCCAUCAUUUGUCAUAUAAUCUCAAAGACGAUGACUCAGUCGUGAAGAACUUGGAAGCAUGUGAUAGUUUAAGUGGUGUGAGGACUUUGUUACAAAUCAAUAUGUAUUCAUUCUGUAAACACACAGAGGGAAUUGAUCCAUGUCACUUACUAGCACAAUUGAAGCGCUUACGUAAAUUUGCGUUAUCUUCUUUUUAAUGGCACUCCUAUAAAAGACUUGAAGAAGCUAUUCAUCUGGGAUUACAGAGGUACCAUGUUUCCGGAUUGACUCAGUUGCAGCUGGGUGGAUGCAGGAAUUGUUGGGUGCUUCCUUCACUCGGACAGUUACAGGGACAUCUACUCAUUCUUCUGGGGCUUGUGAAUUUAUUGCGUUUGGGUGCGGCAAUCUUAAGAUCUUUCAAGCUGGACUACUCUUAGAGUGGUAUAAUCCUACACUGGAUUACUCUUGUGACUGACUCAUAACAGUGUUGCUCAACUAAAGGAAGAAAUCAAUUCUGAGGCAUAUCUUUUGAGUAAGUUUAUAUGGCUGUUACUUUUAGGGAUUUUGGCCAUAAAUAUAUAAACUACAUACGUCAU